rfam:Exidia glandulosa HHB12029 unplaced genomic scaffold EXIGLscaffold_234, whole genome shotgun sequence.
GGCCGCCUGGCGAAAUGGCAUCGCGUCUGACUACGAUCUCAGAGAUCCGCUAUCAGGAGAUUGCAGGUUCGACCCCUGCGGUGGUCA